rnacentral:rRNA from 1 species
AGUAAAUAGAUACCCAGGUAGUCCACGCCGUAAACGAUGAAUACUAGGUGUAGGAGGUAUGACUCCUUCUGUGCCGCAGUUAAACACAAUAAGUAUUCCGCCUGGGGAGUACGGUCGCAAGAUUAAAACUCAAAGGAAUUGACGGGGCCCGCACAAGCAGCGGAGCAUGUGGUUUAAUUCGAAGCAACGCGAAGAACCUUACCUAGACUUGACAUCUUCUGCAUUAAUCGUAAUGGAUGAAAUCCCUUCGGGGACAGAAUGACAGGUGGUGCAUGGUUGUCGUCAGCUCGUGUCGUGAGAUGUUGGGUUAAGUCCCGCAACGAGCGCAACCCCUAUUAUUAGUUGCUAACAUUAAGUUGAGCACUCUAGUGAGACUGCCCGGGUUAACCGGAGGAA